rnacentral:rRNA from 1 species
GAUGAACGCUGGCGGCGUGCCUAAUACAUGCAAGUCGAGCGAACAGAUGAGGAGCUUGCUCCUCUGACGUUAGCGGCGGACGGGUGAGUAACACGUGGAUAACCUACCUAUAAGACUGGGAUAACUUCGGGAAACCGGAGCUAAUACCGGAUAAUAUAUUGAACCGCAUGGUUCAAUAGUGAAAGACGGUUUUGCUGUCACUUAUAGAUGGAUCCGCGCCGCAUUAGCUAGUUGGUAAGGUAACGGCUUACCAAGGCAACGAUGCGUAGCCGACCUGAGAGCAGGAGAAGCAGAACGGGAAAGGAGACACGGUCGCGACUCCUACGGGCGGCAGCAGUGCGGAAUAUUACGAAGUGCGCGUAGGCCUGACGGAGCAAUGCGGCGUGAGUAAUGAUGGUGUUCGUAUCGUACAACUCCGUUACGAGGGAACAACACAAGUGUAAGGCAACAUGCGUGUCUUGACCCGACCUAAUCAGAAGGCAACGGCUACCUAUGAA